GGGGUCUUGGCACAGUGGUAGCGCGCAUGCUUUGCAUUUCUUGUAUCUGAAUGUCUGCAUGAGGUCGUGAGUUCAAUCCUCACAGGCUCCA